GUUUUUUGUUCGGGUCCCAAUUUUGGACCCGGACCCGACCCGGUUGAAGAUCGGGUUGGGUCGAGUCGGGUCCGAGUCGGGUUCGGGUCGGGUUCGGGUCUGAUUCGGGUCCGAUCGGGUCUAAUUUUUUUAUGCUUUUGGGAAAAAAUUUGGGCAAAUCUAAUUUGGUCAUAUCAUAAUUAUGAGGUGCUGGGUGACCCAUGACUUGAAAGACUUGCAAUUGAGCUCCAGUCAGAACAGAUGACCCAUGACUUACUAAGUCGGUCUACAAGCCAAAUUUCAUAUCACACUAUUUUUUAUCUGUAUGACUGAUUGGACGGAACUCGGUGUCUCCCAGCUCCCCUCUCACGAGGACAAAAAAAAUCCCAGACCUUCUUCCAAAAUCCAAUUCCAUUACAGAAAACUGGCACAUGACCCAUAUUCAGUUGCAGUGUUCCCUCACUUUCUCC
rnacentral:lncRNA from 1 species